rnacentral:rRNA from 1 species
AGCCCUAAGCUGGUGGUAAACUCCAUCUAAGGCUAAAUAUGACCACGAGACCGAUAGCGAACAAGUACCGUGAGGGAAAGUUGAAAAGCACUUUGAAGAGAGAGUUCAAGAGUACGUGAAACCGUUUAGGGGUAAACCUGAGAAACCCGAAAGGUCGAAGGGAGAAAUUCAUUCGCGUUUCGCAGUCGGCGUGAGACGGUCGAGUGACGAAAAACGUUCGCGUUUUUCGCGCCUUCCGUUUUUCGAUCCGAUAGCGAACGCGUGCACUUUUCUCCUGGUAGGACGUCGCGAUCCGUUGGGUGUCGGUCUAAGGCUCGCGGUGGAGCCCGAAUGUGCUUCGCGCACGUUCGGACCCGCUUGUUCCCGGCCGACUCGCUCGACGGUAUACGAAAGGUUUAAGGCCGCUUCAUUAAGCGUUCGGCUCGUCGCAAGCGCGUCAGAUGAUGUCGGCGAUCGGACCUAGUGCCGGUUCUGACCUCUGGCGACUGUUGGCGGCGAAGUUCUCGAACAGACCUCAGACCGAUCUGCGACGCUAUAGCUUUGGGUACU